UGAGGGAUAUUGGGCAAUGGGGGAAACCCUGACCCAGCGACGCCGCGUGAGGGAAGACGGUCUUCGGAUUGUAAACCUCUGUCUUUGGGGACGAAGAAGGACGGUACCCAAGGAGGAAGCUCCGGCUAACUACGUGCCAGCAGCCGCGGUAAUACGUAGGGAGCGAGCGUUGUCCGGAAUUACUGGGUGUAAAGGGAGCGUAGGCGGGAUUGCAAGUUGGAUGUGAAAACUGCGGGCUCAACCCGGAGAGUGCAUUCAAAACUGCGAUUCUUGAGUGAAGUAGAGGCAAGCGGAAUUCCUAGUGUAGCGGUGAAAUGCGUAGAUAUUAGGAGGAACACCAGUGGCGAAGGCGGCUUGCUGGGCUUUUACUGACGCUGAGGCUCGAAAGUGUGGGGAGCAAACAGG
rnacentral:rRNA from 1 species